GCGAAGAGGUCACACCCGUUCCCAUGCCGAACACGGAAGUUAAGCUCUUCAGCGCCGAUGGUAGUUGGGGGUUUCCCCCUGUGAGAGUAGGACGUCGCCAGGC
rnacentral:rRNA from 1 species